CUAAGGAGCUCACAGCGCUGCGUGUCCUGGUCUCACCCUGUGGGGUGGGGUUGGGGUGUGUGGUUGUGGCCUCGGUCGUCGCCGUUCGUGUGGCGCGGGGUUUGCUCAUGGGUGGAACGCUGAUGUUCGUGUGUCUGGUGCUGUCGCCCUGUGUGGUGGUGGUGGUGGGUGUGUCGGUGCACUGUUGGGUCCUGAGGGAACACGCGACCUCCGCCUUGUGUGGUGGGGGGUGUUGUCUUGGUGGCGGCUUCUGCCUUGGUGUUCAUACCAGUUUGCCUCUUGUUUUGUGGGGGGUGGGUGUUGGUGGGCAUGGUGGGGUGGGGGUUGUGUGUUGUUUGAGAACUGCACAGUGGACGCGAGCAUCUUUGUG
rnacentral:misc_RNA from 1 species